rnacentral:tRNA from 1 species
GGUGGCUCAGUGGUAGAGCACUUGCUUUGCAUGCAUAAGGCCCUGGGUUCGAUUCCUCAGCACCA